AGUCGAACGAAGCAUGCCGGAGGAAGUUUUCGGAUGGAAUCCGGGAUGACUGAGUGGCGGACGGGUGAGUAACGCGUGGGUAACCUGCCCUGUACAGGGGGACAACAGUUAGAAAUGACUGCUAAUACCGCAUAAGCGCACAGGACCGCAUGGUCCGGUGUGAAAAACUCCGGUGGUACAGGAUGGACCCGCGUCUGAUUAGGUAGUUGGCGGGGUAACGGCCCACCAAGCCGACGAUCAGUAGCCGACCUGAGAGGGUGACCGGCCACAUUGGGACUGAGACACGGCCCAAACUCCUACGGGAGGCAGCAGUGGGGAAUAUUGCACAAUGGGGGGAACCCUGAUGCAGCGACGCCGCGUGAGUGAAGAAGUAUUUCGGUAUGUAAAGCUCUAUCAGCAGGGAAGAAAAUGACGGUACCUGACUAAGAAGCCCCGGCUAACUACGUGCCAGCAGCCGCGGUAAUACGUAGGGGGCAAGCGUUAUCCGGAUUUACUGGGUGUAAAGGGAGCGUAGACGGCAGAGCAAGUCUGAAGUGAAAGCCCGCGGCCCAACUGCGGGACUGCUUUGGAAACUGCCCGGCUAGAGUGCUGGAGAGGUAAGCGGAAUUCCUAGUGUAGCGGUGAAAUGGGUAGAUUUUUUGGGGAACACCAGUGGCGAAGGCGGCUUACUGGACAGUAACUGACGUUGAGGCUCGAA
rnacentral:rRNA from 1 species